rnacentral:rRNA from 1 species
GACGGGUAGCCGGCCUGAGAGGGCGACCGGCCACACUGGGACUGAGACACGGCCCAGACUCCUACGGGAGGCAGCAGUGGGGAAUAUUCGCACAAUGGGCGAAAGCCUGAUGCAGCGACGCCGCGUGAGGGAUGACGGCCUUCGGGUUGUAAACCUCUUUCAGCAGGGAAGAAGCGAAAGUGACGGUACCUGCAGAAGAAGCGCCGGCUAACUACGUGCCAGCAGCCGCGGUAAUACGUAGGGCGCAAGCGUUGUCCGGAAUUAUUGGGCGUAAAGAGCUCGUAGGCGGCCUGUCACGUCGGAUGUGAAAGCCCGGGGCUUAACCCCGGGUCUGCAUUCGAUACGGGCAGGCUAGAGUUCGGUAGGGGAGAUCGGAAUUCCUGGUGUAGCGGUGAAAUGCGCAGAUAUCAGGAGGAACACCGGUGGCGAAGGCGGAUCUCUGGGCCGAUACUGACGCUGAGGAGCGAAAGCGUGGGGAGCGAACAGGAUUAGAUACCCUGGUAGUCCACGCCGUAAACGUUGGGAACUAGGUGUGGGCGACAUUCCACGUCGUCCGUGCCGCAGCUAACGCAUUAA